GGCAUAUGAAGGCUCCCAAGCUAAGGGGUCAAUAUGGAGCUGUAGCUGCUGGUCUAUGUCACAGCCAUAGCAACGCGGGAUCUAAGCCGUGUCUUCGACCUACACCACAGUUCACGGCAACACCAGAUCCUUAAAUCACUGAGCAAGGCCAGGGAUCGAACCCAAAAACUCAUGGUUACUAGUCGGGUUCACUAACCACUGAGCAACAACAGGAACUCCAGUUUUAAAUUUUUAAUAGAAGACUUUAUAAACAAAGUUCAAUCAUAUAGACACCAUGUCACAGGGACCAUCACACAAAUUCUGGGUGAGCUUCAGUUCUUGCAAUCAAAUGCUCCACUUGGUAAAACAUCUCCCUAACCCAUCUCAUAAACAACACUAAGAUUGUCACAUGCCUGUAAUUAAAUUGUUCUGAUGAAACAUACAGCUCUCAGGUUACAACUGCUUCCCCUGCAAUAAUAAUUUCUAAACCCUCUUCAUUUAAAUGUUUAAAAUAUUCAAUUCAUCACUUCAAAUGAGGGCUCUAUAUAAUAAAAAGAUGAGUGUCAGAAAUAAUUCUGAAGGAUGAACACACAAAGCAACAAAAAGUGUUUUUUAAAAAACGACUGAUGUCCUUAAUUAGCAUUUUGCUCAAUCUAUUCAAUGCAAUUUAAAUAUAAGAUCACACAAUACAAAUAUUAACUCCUCCAGAAAGCUUCACUGCAAUUUUAUUUAUUUAUGUAUUUAGUGCUUAAUAUAGGCAGUCCCUUUAUACACAUUGCUAUCAAAUCCUCCCAACAACACUAUCAGGUAGGCACCAAUAUUAUCCCCCAUUUCAUAGACCAGGUGGGGAGGUUUAGAAAGACACUUCAUUUGGUGAAGUUAAGCCUGACGUAAGUGGUAGGGCUAGGUGUUGAACCCAUUAAGUCCAUACACUUAAUAACUAUCCUAGGGCAAUGAAUAUAUGAAUGAAUGCUUCAUCCACAGAGCAUUUAUGAGGUGUCUUCCAAACUUUUCUCAGAUUACAACUGUCGUUCUUCUAUUUUUAAAUUCAAAAUCCCUAGAUAUUUCCAUUACUCGUUACAGCUCAUGUCAUCAUUAAGUGGCUAAAGAAAGAUUUACUUAGUAUAUGGUAUAAUCUAGGCGCUGUGUGAGCUAUUGGUAAAGCAAAGUAGACCAGAAGAAAGCCCCAUUUCAGGGGAUCUAAAGAGAACAUAGUGAAAAGUAUAAGUAAAUACCAUAUGAUUGGUGGCAUUCUGGGAAGCAGUAUGCAGUGACCAACUACCUCCCCAAGAGAAGCUAAAAAAGGCCUCACAAAGGAAGUAACACAUGAGCUGGGAUUCUCCAAAUUCUAAGGGAAGAAAAACCAUUUGAGUUAGUGAAAAACACUUUACAAAGGUGUGAAACUACAAAUAUGGCCUAUUAGGUAAAAAGCAGGAUUUUAAACAGAAGCCAGAGUUUGCAGUGCCCCAGAAGAGAAAAAAAAAACUAAGGCUCACCACACAAAGUGACUGCAGACUGAAAGGGUCUGAAACGCCAUGCUUGGGAAAUGGGGCUCGCCCACAGGUGAUGGGAAGGUGUUAGAGAAGCAGUGGGCAGAGCCGGAAAAGCAGAGACAGAGAGACAUGGGUUUGAUUCUUCCUUGUGACACUUAUGGGGUAGCUGGAUUUUAGUAGAGUGCAUAACAUCCCAAACACAGUUUCCUGUAAAACACAGGCAGCAUAUUUCUUGUUGUAAAAGAAUGCAUUCUAUCCAUCUAUAUGAAACGUCUCUCACAAACAACUGCUGAACACACGCUGGUUCCUUUCACAACUGAGAAUUAUAACCUCUGUAGAACAUGGUUUCCCUUUAACUGAAAGGGAGAAAUCCUACAAGAAUGGGAUCAGUUAAGAGGGAGUUCCCAUUGUGGCUCAUUGGGUUACGAACCCAACUAGUAUCCAUGAGGACUCAAGUUCAAUCCCUGGCCUUGCUUAAUGGGUUAAGGAUCUGGUGUUGCCGUGAGCUGCUGUGUAGGUUGCAGAUGUGGCUUGGAUUGGGCGCUGCAGUGCCUGUGGUGUAGGCUGGCAGCUGAAGCUCCGAUUCAACCCUUAGCCUGGGAACUUCCAUAUACCACAAGUGUGGCCCUAAAAAUCAAAAAAAGAAAAAAGCUCUGAGAAUUGUUCUGCCUAUUAGAAGUCAAAGGCUCAGUCAUAUACAUUUUCCACACAAAGGAUAGUACAUCAAAACGAUACACUGACAUUUUAUAUAAAAUUCACCAAGGAUACAUAGUUCACGUGAACAUGCAUAAAGGAAGCAGCAAGUCACCGUGACCCCAUAAAGAGUUGAGAAAUAAAGCUAUUCUUCUAAGAAGUUAUAUUGUUAGCAUCAGAAGGGAAAAAAUAGAUCCUUACAGUCAAGCAGGCUCUCUUUGAGGAGCUCUGGUUAAUGCGUAAUGCAGAUGCACACUGCACCUGAGGCCCAAACAAACAGAGAAUUUUAAUGUCUAAUUUUUCUUGU
rnacentral:lncRNA from 1 species